ensembl:lncRNA CD44 antigen-like
CAGACGUUACCGUGUGUGUGUGUGUGUGUGUGUGUGUGUGUGUGUGUGUGUGUGUGUGUGUGUGUGUGUGUGGAAUGAAGGAGAGCAGGGAGUGGUGGGCCUGUCUGCACAGAUUCUCCACCCACACGCAUUGACUAAGUCGGGACAUGCCGUACAUCCGCAGUGACGCAUGCCUCGGUCCCCCAACCUCCCUUUGAAGUACAAAAUCAAUAGAUCGUAGGAAUAGAAUGCCCCCUUUAUUGAACUGAUAUGAGACGCACAACAGAUUGUAAGGAUUAUUAAUAAUCUGUAUGAACGUGUUCGUCUCUCCGUCAGUUUCUGCUUCGUUGGAAACAAUUCAACAGUUUUUCAGAGCUCAAACGCUGUAUUUUACAGACCAUGUGAUGACAUCACUGUGAUGUCAUCACAUGGUGUGAGGGAAGCUUUGUUUGGAAAACUUCAGAGACAAACGCAGAGCAGGGUGAAGAUAUGACAGCAAAUAACAUUAUGGAUUUGACUAAAAAAAAUGUGCUACAGUGUAUGUUAUUAUUACACCAGCGGUUCUCAACAUACGGGUCACGACCCAUGUUUCCUAAUACUCUGCUCCCACACCCUCCCUUUCCCUCUCUCUGGCUGGUGUUAGGUUCCUGGGAGCUUGAGGAGGACAAACAAAGCGUGUGAAAGUGUGUUAAAGUGGAGGUGUGUCCUUGUGUGUCCGCGUGUGUGUCCGUGUGUGUGUGUGUGUGUGUGUGUGUGUGUGUGAAUGUGUGUGUGUGCGUGUGUGUGUGUGUUCGUGUGUGUGUGUCGAUACCUGCUGAAUAUAAAACACCUGCCAUUAUUCAUCACACACAAACACACACAGACGCACACGGGCUGAACUCAGAGUGAUGAAGAUGAGGACUUUACUGUGUCAAAUCCUUCUUGGACUUCUCACCGUGGUGGAAUCAACUACAAUUCAGACACUUGUGACUAAAACCCAGAACGAGGAUGACGACAUUCUCACCGAGGCCGUUAAAGACGGAUACAUCGUGCGUCAGACUCCACCCCCUUCACCCAAGUCUCCAACGUCAGCAUCUCCACCCCUCCCUCUGAUGAUGGAUCUGCUGAGUCAUGAAUCCAGCGGUGACUCAGAGUCUGGAUCAGGAAAUUUUUCACAGUUUGAGACAAAAAACACAGUUCCCAUCACAGUGAAAAAUCUUUUAGAAUCUGAGCUGGAAGGAUCGGGAUCAGAGACUGGAUCAGGAACCGGAUCAGAAAUCAGAUCAAAGACCAGAUCAGGAAUAUUGAGGAAGGACGAUACAGCCAAUCAGCCCCUACAGGGGGAAGGAGCUAAACCUGGAGGAAGUGAUGAAACCAGUGAGCAGCACAAAGGACACAGCACGCCAGACUGGAUCAUCAUCGUGGCUUUCAUCGUAGCCUUAGCGGCUCUGAUUUUGUUGUGCGUCGCCAUCGCCACCAGAGAAAAGUGGAACGGACCAGCACACGCUAAAAGAAGAGCUCCGGUCCAGCAGGGGGCGAGAGAGACGCACACGCUCCUCAACACAACGAAUCCUGUAGAAAACGGAAAAGACGAGGAAUACACGGUGAUUCCUCUGGAGGAACUUCCUCACAAAUAUUCACAAGUUUGACACGAAACCUGAGACUGAAGCAAAGAACUGAAAUAACGACACGGACGAGAGUUUAAGCAUUUUCUACAGAUUUAAUCAGCAUUGAUCAACCUGAUAAUGAAUAGUUUUAAUGUUUGUAAAUACACACAAUGCAUAAGAUCACAUGAUCACGUGAGCUCUGAUUGGAUUUAGUUCCACGUGACAAAACAAUAGCUAAGUUUUUAAUAGACAAUAUAGUUUUUGUUGACAUAUAUUUUUAAAAUUAGUCAUAGUCCUAUUAUUGUGACUUAAAAACAUGUAGUUGACUUAAAUUAUGACUAUUUUUGUCCAAAAAUUAACUGUGACUGAAAAUGUUUGUUUUUAUGCUGCAGCUUUAUUUUGAAGCCAUGAUUCUGCGCCUUUAUUUUGAAGCAACAAUCUUAAUUUUGUACUUUUAUUUUGAAGACACUGUCAUGAUUCUGCUCCUUUAUUUUGAAGCAAUAGCCUUAAUUAUGCACUUUUAUUCUGAAACAAUGUUUCUGCAUCUUUUAAUUCUGUGCCUUUAUUUUGAAGCCAUUAUCAUGAUUCUGCACUUUUAUUUUGAAGCCACUCUCAUGAUUUUGCACCUUUAUUUUGAAGCAACAGGUUUUAUUCUACGCCUUUACUUUUGAAACCUUGAUUCUGCAACUUUAUUUUGAAGCCAUGAUUCUGCAUUUUUUUAUUUUGAAGCAACAACCUUUAUUCUGCACCUUUAUUUUGAAGCCACUGUCAUGACUCUGGACCUUUAUUUUGAAGCCCCAGCCUUUAUUCUAUGCCUUUAUUUUGAAUCCACUUUAAUGAUGCUUCUCCUUUAUUUUGAAAACACUGUCAUGAUUCUGCACCUUUAAUUUGAAGCAACAGCCUUAAUUCUGCGCCUUUAUUUUGAAGCCCAAGCCUUCAUUUGCCUUUGUGCUUCCUGUGUAUUUCCUGCUUGUGUUUUUAGGCUGGGAGGAGCUUCCUGUGUGUCUCUGUUUGAAGUGUUUUCUUUUUGUAAUUUAUUUCAGGGGACGGACACACACACACACACACACACACACUUGUUGCUCAUCAAUAGUCAUUUAUUGGUUUCCUUUAAUAUUCACAGAUGUACAAGUAUUAAAAUAUUUACACACUUUCAGUCUUUUUUUUUGUGUUUGUGAGAGAUUUUAAAUGAUCACAUUUUACAAAUAUGGUAGAAUUCAGACAGAAACAACAUGUGAAACAGAAUGAGAAUAAAAACAAAGAACAAUAGAAAAUG